rnacentral:rRNA from 1 species
AACGAACGCUGGCGGCAUGCCUAACACAUGCAAGUCGAACGAGACCUUCGGGUCUAGUGGCGCACGGGUGCGUAACGCGUGGGAACCUGCCCUUAGGUUCGGAAUAACUCCCCGAAAGGGGUGCUAAUACCGGAUAAUGUCUUCGGACCAAAGAUUUAUCGCCUUUGGAUGGGCCCGCGUUGGAUUAGCUAGUUGGUAAGGUAAAAGCCUACCAAGGCGACGAUCCAUAGCUGGUCUGAGAGGAUGAUCAGCCACACUGGGACUGAGACACGGCCCAGACUCCUACGGGAGGCAGCAGUGGGGAAUAUUGGACAAUGGGCGAAAGCCUGAUCCAGCAAUGCCGCGUGAGUGAUGAAGGCCUUAGGGUUGUAAAGCUCUUUUACCCGGGAUGAUAAUGACAGUACCGGGAGAAUAAGCUCCGGCUAACUCCGUG